rnacentral:rRNA from 1 species
UACAGAGGGUGCAAGCGUUGUUCGGAAUUAUUGGGCGUAAAGGGCGCGUAGGCGGUGCGGUAAGUCUGCAGUGAAAUCUCUGGGCUCAACUCAGAGUCUGCUGUGGAAACUGCCGUGCUUGAGUGUGGGAGAGGUGAGUGGAAUUCCCGGUGUAGUGGUGGAAUGCGUAGAUAUCAGGAGGAACACCUGCGGUGUAGACGGCUUACUGGACGGUAACUGACGCUGAGGCACGAAAGCGUGGGUAGCAAACAGG